rnacentral:lncRNA from 1 species
UUUAGAGCUUUUUUUUGUAAAAGAGUUAGAAACAGUUUUAUAAAAAUAUUUUUUAAAAAGGUUUUUGGUUUUUAUUUAUGUAUGUAACAUUUUGUUAAUAAGAUAAGAAGAAUAAGACAAUAUGUUUUCCUUUUAUGUAUAGCUCCUGUUUUGUAACAAACAAAACAUUUUCACACAGUAAAGAAAAGUCUUUAUCAACUUUCUCAAUUACAAAAAGAGAAACAUUUUUUCCAAUAUUAGAAUUACUGCAUUGCCCAAAUAAGUGAAAUAGGGACUCAGAAUAGUGCUUACAAAAUCAACAAUUUAUCAAUAUAUUGUUUAUAUAUCUUACUUAGAGAGAAUUGACUGGUAUGUACCAUGAAUAAUUCUAAAAGGUGCAGUAUUUUUCAUUGAGAAAAAGCCCGUCUAAUGACAUCAUACUUCAGGAAGUGACAUCUUUUGGAGGGAAAGCAACAAACCGCGAACGUAAGAGUUAAAAGUGGGCCCGAAUGUGGCAUGAGUGACCUACAUGUGUGAUGGAGUCUAUAAAGUCACUCCAUCCAUGUCUCCCUGUGCAAGACGACUGCAUGUGGCUGAAAGUUGAUCCCAGAUUCCUGGAGUGUUUCUCGGCAGUCAAGGACGUCUGACCCGCACUCAUUUAUACAACAUUUUGUGCCUGUCAUGAUGACCCGAAAUGGAAGGUUUCCACAACCAUUUAGCAGAUGCUUCCAUCCAAAACGACAGUUUGCAGAUUGCAGGCACGGUCCCUUAAGAGCUUCUUGCUUAAGGGCACAUUUUGGGAUCUCAGACACUCUCCAGUUACACGAUCACCUCUAUAUUUUGGACACAGUCUACUGUACCCAUAGAGAAAACACUAAAUCAUUCAUGCCCCACAUUAUGCUGUAUCAUGGCCC